UUGAACGCUGGCGGCAGGCCUAACACAUGCAAGUCGAACGGUACAGGAAGAAGCUUGCUUCUUUGCUGACGAGUGGCGGACGGGUGAGUAAUGUCUGGGAAACUGCCUGAUGGAGGGGGAUAACUACUGGAAACGGUAGCUAAUACCGCAUAACGUCGCAAGACCACAGAGGGGUACCUUCGGGCCUCUUGCCAUCGGAUGUGCCCAGAUGGGAUUAGCUAGUAGGUGGGGUAACGGCUCACCUAGGCGACGAUCCCUAGCUGGUCUGAGAGGAUGACCAGCCACACUGGAACUGAGACACGGUCCAGACUCCUACGGGAGGCAGCAGUGGGGAAUAUUGCACAAUGGGCGCAAGCCUGAUGCAGCCAUGCCGCGUGUAUGAAGAAGGCCUUCGGGUUGUAAAGUACUUUCAGCGGGGAGGAAGGGAGUAAAGUUAAUACCUUUGCUCAUUGACGUUACCCGCAGAAGAAGCACCGGCUAACUCCGUG
rnacentral:rRNA from 1 species